GGGUUGUGAGGUUAAGCGACUAAGCGUACACGGUGGAUGCCCUGGCAGUCAGAGGCGAUGAAGGACGUGCUAAUCUGCGAUAAGCGUCGGUAAGGUGAUAUGAACCGUUAUAACCGGCGAUUUCCGAAUGGGGAAACCCAGUGUGAUUCGUCACACUAUCAUUAACUGAAUCCAUAGGUUAAUGAGGCGAACCGGGGGAACUGAAACAUCUAAGUACCCCGAGGAAAAGAAAUCAACCGAGAUUCCCCCAGUAGCGGCGAGCGAACGGGGAGCAGCCCAGAGCCUGAAUCAGUGUGUGUGUUAGUGGAAGCGUCUGGAAAGGCGCGCGAUACAGGGUGACAGCCCCGUACACAAAAAUGCACAUGCUGUGAGCUCGAUGAGUAGGGCGGGACACGUGGUAUCCUGUCUGAAUAUGGGGGGACCAUCCUCCAAGGCUAAAUACUCCUGACUGACCGAUAGUGAACCAGUACCGUGAGGGAAAGGCGAAAAGAACCCCGGCGAGGGGAGUGAAAAAGAACCUGAAACCGUGUACGUACAAGCAGUGGGAGCCUCUUUAUGGGGUGACUGCGUACCUUUUGUAUAAUGGGUCAGCGACUUAUAUUCUGUAGCAAGGUUAACCGAAUAGGGGAGCCGAAGGGAAACCGAGUCUUAACUGGGCGUUAAGUUGCAGGGUAUAGACCCGAAACCCGGUGAUCUAGCCAUGGGCAGGUUGAAGGUUGGGUAACACUAACUGGAGGACCGAACCGACUAAUGUUGAAAAAUUAGCGGAUGACUUGUGGCUGGGGGUGAAAGGCCAAUCAAACCGGGAGAUAGCUGGUUCUCCCCGAAAGCUAUUUAGGUAGCGCCUCGUGAAUUCAUCUCCGGGGGUAGAGCACUGUUUCGGCAAGGGGGUCAUCCCGACUUACCAACCCGAUGCAAACUGCGAAUACCGGAGAAUGUUAUCACGGGAGACACACGGCGGGUGCUAACGUCCGUCGUGAAGAGGGAAACAACCCAGACCGCCAGCUAAGGUCCCAAAGUCAUGGUUAAGUGGGAAACGAUGUGGGAAGGCCCAGACAGCCAGGAUGUUGGCUUAGAAGCAGCCAUCAUUUAAAGAAAGCGUAAUAGCUCACUGGUCGAGUCGGCCUGCGCGGAAGAUGUAACGGGGCUAAACCAUGCACCGAAGCUGCGGCAGCGACGCUUAUGCGUUGUUGGGUAGGGGAGCGUUCUGUAAGCCUGCGAAGGUGUACUGUGAGGUAUGCUGGAGGUAUCAGAAGUGCGAAUGCUGACAUAAGUAACGAUAAAGCGGGUGAAAAGCCCGCUCGCCGGAAGACCAAGGGUUCCUGUCCAACGUUAAUCGGGGCAGGGUGAGUCGACCCCUAAGGCGAGGCCGAAAGGCGUAGUCGAUGGGAAACAGGUUAAUAUUCCUGUACUUGGUGUUACUGCGAAGGGGGGACGGAGAAGGCUAUGUUGGCCGGGCGACGGUUGUCCCGGUUUAAGCGUGUAGGCUGGUUUUCCAGGCAAAUCCGGAAAAUCAAGGCUGAGGCGUGAUGACGAGGCACUACGGUGCUGAAGCAACAAAUGCCCUGCUUCCAGGAAAAGCCUCUAAGCAUCAGGUAACAUCAAAUCGUACCCCAAACCGACACAGGUGGUCAGGUAGAGAAUACCAAGGCGCUUGAGAGAACUCGGGUGAAGGAACUAGGCAAAAUGGUGCCGUAACUUCGGGAGAAGGCACGCUGAUAUGUAGGUGAAGCGACUUGCUCGUGGAGCUGAAAUCAGUCGAAGAUACCAGCUGGCUGCAACUGUUUAUUAAAAACACAGCACUGUGCAAACACGAAAGUGGACGUAUACGGUGUGACGCCUGCCCGGUGCCGGAAGGUUAAUUGAUGGGGUUAGCGGUAACGCGAAGCUCUUGAUCGAAGCCCCGGUAAACGGCGGCCGUAACUAUAACGGUCCUAAGGUAGCGAAAUUCCUUGUCGGGUAAGUUCCGACCUGCACGAAUGGCGUAAUGAUGGCCAGGCUGUCUCCACCCGAGACUCAGUGAAAUUGAACUCGCUGUGAAGAUGCAGUGUACCCGCGGCAAGACGGAAAGACCCCGUGAACCUUUACUAUAGCUUGACACUGAACAUUGAGCCUUGAUGUGUAGGAUAGGUGGGAGGCUUUGAAGUGUGGACGCCAGUCUGCAUGGAGCCGACCUUGAAAUACCACCCUUUAAUGUUUGAUGUUCUAACGUUGGCCCCUUAUCGGGGUUGCGGACAGUGUCUGGUGGGUAGUUUGACUGGGGCGGUCUCCUCCUAAAGAGUAACGGAGGAGCACGAAGGUUGGCUAAUCCUGGUCGGACAUCAGGAGGUUAGUGCAAUGGCAUAAGCCAGCUUGACUGCGAGCGUGACGGCGCGAGCAGGUGCGAAAGCAGGUCAUAGUGAUCCGGUGGUUCUGAAUGGAAGGGCCAUCGCUCAACGGAUAAAAGGUACUCCGGGGAUAACAGGCUGAUACCGCCCAAGAGUUCAUAUCGACGGCGGUGUUUGGCACCUCGAUGUCGGCUCAUCACAUCCUGGGGCUGAAGUAGGUCCCAAGGGUAUGGCUGUUCGCCAUUUAAAGUGGUACGCGAGCUGGGUUUAGAACGUCGUGAGACAGUUCGGUCCCUAUCUGCCGUGGGCGCUGGAGAACUGAGGGGGGCUGCUCCUAGUACGAGAGGACCGGAGUGGACGCAUCACUGGUGUUCGGGUUGUCAUGCCAAUGGCACUGCCCGGUAGCUAAAUGCGGAAGAGAUAAGUGCUGAAAGCAUCUAAGCACGAAACUUGCCCCGAGAUGAGUUCUCCCUGACCCUUUAAGGGUCCUGAAGGAACGUUGAAGACGACGACGUUGAUAGGCCGGGUGUGUAAGCGCAGCGAUGCGUUGAGCUAACCGGUACUAAUGAACCGUGAGGCUUAACCUUACAACGCCGAAG
rnacentral:rRNA from 1 species